AUACGGAGGGUGCAAGCGUUACUCGGAAUCACUGGGCGUAAAGGACGCGUAGGCGGGUUGUCAAGUCAGAUGUGAAAUCCUACAGCUUAACUGUAGAACUGCAUUUGAAACUGGCAACCUAGAGUAUGGGAGGGGGAGAUGGAAUUAGUGGUGUAGGGGUAAAAUCCGUAGAUAUCACUAGGAAUACCGAAAGCGAAGGCGAUCUCCUGGAACAUAACUGACGCUAAGGCGUGAAAGCGUGGGGAGCAAACGGGAUUAGAAACCCUAGUAGUCC
rnacentral:rRNA from 1 species